AUUGAACGCUGGCGGCAGGCCUAACACAUGCAAGUCGAGCGGAUGACGGGAGCUUGCUCCUUGAUUCAGCGGCGGACGGGUGAGUAAUGCCUAGGAAUCUGCCUGGUAGUGGGGGACAACGUUUCGAAAGGAACGCUAAUACCGCAUACGUCCUACGGGAGAAAGCAGGGGACCUUCGGGCCUUGCGCUAACAGAUGAGCCUAGGUCGGAUUAGCUAGUAGGUGAGGUAAUGGCUCACCUAGGCGACGAUCCGUAACUGGUCUGAGAGGAUGAUCAGGCACACUGGAACGGAGACACGGUCCAGACUCCUGCGGGAGGCAGCAGUGGGGAAUAUUGGACAAUGGGCGAAAGCCUGAUCCAGCCAUGCCGCGUGUGUGAAGAAGGUCUUCGGAUUGUAAAGCACUUUAAGUUGGGAGGAAGGGCAGUAAGUUAAUACCUUGCUGUUUUGACGUUACCGACAGAAUAAGCACCGGCUAACUCCGUGCCAGCCGCCGCGGUAAGAC
rnacentral:rRNA from 1 species